rnacentral:sRNA from 1 species
UAUUUUGACACAUAUCAACAUCUGAACGAUAGACUUGACACGUCUCAUGAUUAUGUGAGAUACUAAUUUUGAAAACUAUAU